rnacentral:rRNA from 1 species
GAUGAACGCUGGCGGCGUGCUUAACACAUGCAAGUCGAACGGGAAACCUUUUAUUGAAGCUUCGGCAGAUUUAGCUGGUUUCUAGUGGCGGACGGGUGAGUAACGCGUGGGUAACCUGCCUUAUACAGGGGGAUAACAGUCAGAAAUGGCUGCUAAUACCGCAUAAGCGCACAGAGCUGCAUGGCUCAGUGUGAAAAACUCCGGUGGUAUAAGAUGGACCCGCGUUGGAUUAGCUGGUUGGUGGGGUAACGGCCCACCAAGGCGACGAUCCAUAGCCGGCCUGAGAGCGUGAACGGCCACAUUGGGACUGAGACACGGACCAGACUCCUACGGGAGGCAGCAGUGGUGAAUAUUGCACGAGGGGGGAAACCCUGAUGCAGCGACGCCGCGUGAAGGAAGAAGUAUCUCGGUAUGUGAACUUGUAUCAGCAGGGAAGAUAAUGACGGUACCUGACUAAGAAGCCCCGGCUAACUACGUG